UACGUAGGUGGCAAGCGAUACUCGGAAUCACUAGGCGUAAAGCGCAGGUAGGAGGUUUGGUAAGUCUGUUGUGAAAGCUCCCGGCUCAACUGGGAGAGGUCAACGGAAACUACUAGGCUAGAGUGUGGUAGAGGUAGCUGGAAUUCCCGGUGUAGCGGUGAAAUGCGUAGAUAUCGGGAGGAAUACCUAUGGCGAAAGCAGGCUACUGGACCGUCACUGACUCUGAUCUGCGAAAGCUAGGGGAGCAAACAGG
rnacentral:rRNA from 1 species